GACGGAGGAUGCAAGCGUUGUCCGGAAUGAUUGGGCGUAAAGCGUCCGCAGGCGGCAGUUCAAGUCUGCUGUCAAAGACCGGGGCUCAACCUCGGAAAGGCAGUGGAAACUGAACAGCUAGAGUAUGGUAGAGGAUGGCGGAAUUCCCGGUGUAGCAGUGAAAUGCGUAGAGAUCGGGAGGAACAUCUGUGGCGAAGGCGGCCAUCUGGACCAGCACUGACACUGAGGCACGAAAGCGUGGGGAGCAAACAGG
rnacentral:rRNA from 1 species